AAUGCUUUUCUUUGCACCAUUUCGUUUACAGAUGGGCAGAGAGCCACCCCACUGGGCUAACAACCAAUCUUUUGAAGCUGUUUGAGCCUCGACCACCGUUGGAUUUCAAACCGCCUCCGGAGAAGAAAAAGUGCCCACCUUUGACAGGGGUAGUGCAAUUUGUGAGUAAGUUUGCGGAGCCUGGAGAUCCUGAGUAUAAUCCGCCUGUCCAAAAGGGCGAAACUCCUGUAACUUUUUUACUUGAAUCACUUGUAUGAGGAUUUAGCGUUAUGAAAUCUUUGUUUGUACUGA